CCUACGGGAGGCUGCAGUGGGGGAUAUUGCACAAUGGGGGGAACCCUGAUGCAGCGACGCCGCGUGGGUGAAGAAGCGCCUCGGCGCGUAAAGCCCUGUCAGCAGGGAAGAAAAUGACGGUAACUGAAGAAGAAGCCCCGGCUAACUACGUGCCAGCAGCCGCGGGAAUACGUAGGGGGCAAGCGGUAUCCGGAUUUACUGGGUGUAAAGGGGGCGCAGACGGCGAUGCAAGCCAGGAGUGAAAGCCCGGGGCCCAACCCCGGGACUGCUCUUGGAACUGCGUGGCUGGAGUGCAGGAGGGGCAGGCGGAAUUCCUGGUGUAGCGGUGAAAUGCGUAGAUAUCAGGAGGAACACCGGUGGCGAAGGCGGCCUGCUGGACUGCAACUGACGUUGAGGCCCGAAAGCGUGGGGAGCAAACAGGAUUAGAUACCCGAGUAGUC
rnacentral:rRNA from 1 species